rnacentral:misc_RNA from 1 species
UAGCUCUUUAACAAUUUGGAAAGCUGACUGAUAACAACAUUAUUGUUAUCGAAAAAAGUUCUCAAUGUUUACCUUUAAGGUAAACACCAAAAAACACAUUCAAGUGUUCUUGGCAAUAUCAUCAUUUAUGAUGAUUAUUCGAAAUUGAGUCCGGCAAAAUCGAACGUCUCUCACUCAUCAAAUAGAGAGACAACUUGGUUGUUUAACGAAACUCCUUCGGGUUGUAU